UGGGGAAUUUUGCACAAUGGGCGCAAGCCUGAUGCAGCGACGCCGCGUGAGGGAUGAAGGCCUUCGGGUUGUAAACCUUUUUCGCUCAUGGUCAAGCCGCAGCUUUGGGUUGUGGUGAGGGUAGUGGGUAAAGAAGCGCCGGCUAACUACGUGCCAGCAGCCGCGGUAAUACGUAGGGCGCGAGCGUUGUCCGGAAUUAUUGGGCGUAAAGGGCUUGUAGGCGGUUGGCCGCGUCUGCCGUGAAAUCCUCUGGCUUAACUGGGGGCGUGCGGUGGGUACGGGUUGACUUGAGUGCGGUAGGGGAGACUGGAAUUCCUGGUGUAGCGGUGGAAUGCGCAGAUAUCAGGAGGAACCCCGGUGGCGAAGGCGGGUCUCUGGGCCGUUACUGACGCUGAGGAGCGAAAGCGUGGGGAGCGAACAGG
rnacentral:rRNA from 1 species